rnacentral:rRNA from 1 species
ACGAUGAUGGAGAGCUUGCUCUUCGGAUUAGUGGCGAACGGGUGAGUAACACGUGAGCAAUCUGCCCUUGACUCUGGGAUAAGCGUUGGAAACGACGUCUAAUACCGGAUACGACCYUNGRAGGCAUCUNCNGNGGUGGAAAGAAUUUUGGUCAGGGAUGAGCUCGCGGCCUAUCAGCUAGUUGGUGAGGUAAUGGCUCACCAAGGCGACGACGGGUAGCCGGCCUGAGAGGGUGACCGGCCACACUGGGACUGAGACACGGCCCAGACUCCUACGGGAGGCAGCAGUGGGGAAUAUUGCACAAUGGGCGAAAGCCUGAUGCAGCAACGCCGCGUGAGGGACGACGGCCUUCGGGUUGUAAACCUCUUUUAGUAGGGAAGAAGCGAAAGUGACGGUACCUGCAGAAAAAGCACCGGCUAACUACGUGCCAGCAGCCGCGGUAAUACGUAGGGUGCAAGCGUUGUCCGGAAUUAUUGGGCGUAAAGAGCUCGUAGGCGGUUUGUCGCGUCUGCUGUGAAAACCCGAGGCUCAACCUCGGGCCUGCAGUGGGUACGGGCAGACUAGAGUGCGGUAGGGGAGAUUGGAAUUCCUGGUGUAGCGGUGGAAUGCGCAGAUAUCAGGAGGAACACCAAUGGCGAAGGCAGAUCUCUGGGCCGUAACUGACGCUGAGGAGCGAAAGCAUGGGGAGCGAACAGGAUUAGAUACCCUGGUAGUCCAUGCCGUAAACGUUGGGAACUAGAUGUGGGGACCAUUCCACGGUCUCCGUGUCGCAGCUAACGCAUUAAGUUCCCCGCCUGGGGAGUACGGCCGCAGG